rnacentral:rRNA from 1 species
ACGAACGCUGGCGGCGUGCCUAACACAUGCAAGUCGCACGAGAAAUCCUGGGCAACCGGGAGAGUAAAGUGGCGCACGGGUGAGUAACGCGUGGGUAACCUGCCCUUGAGUUGGGGAUAACCCCGCGAAAGCGGGGCUAAUACCGAAUAAUAUUACAGUUCCCAUGGGAAUUGUAAUCAAAGGUAGCCUCUGCAUGCAAGCUAUUUCUCAAGGAUGGGGCCCGCGUACCAUUAGCUUGUUGGUAGGGUAAUGGCCUACCGAGGCAACGAUGGUUAGCUG